GCCCAAGGCCACACAACAGACAAGAGCCAGGAUAUGCUUUAAAGGUGGAGUCAAGUGAAGCCUCAACCAAUAUGGCAACACCACUGGACAUGGAAGACAUCUGGAAGACCAGCAUUGCACCCUCUGAUCAAGGAAAGACAGUUUAGUACAAAAUGCGAGACAGAGGAGAUGACUAGACUGCGAAGAGAUGCAAGAAGAGGAAGAAGGGAAGAGGCCGAAGACAGAAAAGAGGAGAUAAGAGCCGACUUCGUACUUCCUGUUCUCAGGAUGUUACUUGGGAGUAAAAUCUCAGAACGAGAACAUUUUAAGCGAGAGGAAAAUCAUCUGGUGUCAACAAGCGUACGAAUUUCUACGAACAGAAAAGGAAGACGUUCCCCUCCUCUUACACCCUUUCAUAAGACACCUCUGGACACCUAAAAGAACUGUCACAGGCACGAUACAAGUUCAAGGCCAGAUGAGAAAUGGGUCGAGAUGAAGAAGAGUCCACCGAAGAACUGCAACAUUAUUAAAAAGAACACCGGGCUACUGAUGAUCACUUGUGGUCAAAUGCGUCAUCACUAGGACAAAGUUAAUGGCUGCUGCACUUGAAGAUGCGUCAAGAGAUCUGCAAGCUGAUGGGGAAACGGGUCAGCUAGGGCACCUUCGGCUCUACGUCAACCAACUGGCCCGUCACGUGGUAGCUUGGGGCUCAUGGUGAAUUUCUCAGGAGGCCAAUGUCACUAGCAAUUUCCAGAAGCCUGGCCUGCUGAUGGGGUCAGAUGCUUUUCCACCAGAUCGCUGGACCUGGUACUGAGACUUAGGGGUUACCUUCUGACAUCCUACUGCCAUCAUGCAGCUCUCUAAACUGGAAGCUUGUUGUCGGCAGGGAACACGUCGACCAACUCUGUUAUACUGGACUCUCUCAAGCGCACAGUACAGUGCUCUGCACACAGUUAAGUGCUUAAUAAAUACCACUGACCGAUGCACCCUGCCGAGACAUGCUUGCCUUUUUAUUUCCUUUUUCCAACUCUUUGUUUAUCCAUGAGUCAAUGGAGAGUGUUUUGUCUAGGUGGCAAAAACCUACUGCAGUUUUAUGCUUUUAAGUUCUUCCACAUUGGUUGUGUGUACUUGGUGUAGGGUUUCCCAAGUAUGGGCCAAUACAUGUUCCAGUUUCCUUCAGAUUUACUCCAGACUUGGAGUGAAACUGCAAAUAAUUUGUAAUUGUUUGCAUGUCUUCCUCUGGGUGGGCUUUUACAGCAUAAGUAUCAUGGUAGAACAGCAAAUAAACUACUGCCUCAAAGACUUUUGAAGACAUACUUCUAGCUCUAAAAGCUGUCAUCAUGUUUUGAAGAAGAGGCCAAUCAAGAAGUCAUCAAACGCUACUUAAUGCUCCUGACUUGGAGAGACACUGCUAACAAAUUGCAUAUUGGAAUUAUUGGGGUUUAAGACAGCUGAAGUUUUCCAAAAUGCAUUAUGAUUCAUAUUCUAAAGAAACUAUGUGAUGUUAACACAUGAGGCUCACAGUCUUAAUCCCCAUUUUACAGAUGAGGGACCUGAAGCACAGA